AUAAAUGCUUUGAAGGGAAAAAGUAGGGUUUACUGAAUUUUACAGAGAGUUGCCGUUUAGUGAGAGGCGCAUUAUGAAGCUUAUCUGAAUACAUCCCAGAGCUGCUCCUUGAAAGAUAACAACCAGUAGGUGGAGAACGGAUACUGCACACGUUAUAGUGCUAGAGUAUUACCCAUGAUAUUUCGUGGAGUACUUGAAGAGGUUGAUAUUGCAAGGUAUCGAUGAAUUAAGGUGGUAACACGGGAAUUAUGCUCUCGUCCUUUUA
rnacentral:ncRNA from 1 species